rnacentral:ncRNA from 2 species
UAAAAGAGUGUUUAUCAUGGUGCUGCUAAUCAGCAGUGAAAAGGGAAUACGGUGAAAAUCCGUAAUGUUGGACCGGCGCUGUAAGCAGGGACUUUUGCUGCAAAAAUGCCACUGGGUAAAACCGGGAAGGCGCGGCAAAAGGCUGAUCUGCAAGUCAGAAGACCUGCCAUGAUAACAUGAUAUAA